UCCCUUGUGGUCCAGUGGUAAGGACUCCAUGCUUUCACUGUUGAGGGCCCAGGUUCAAUUCCUGGUUGGGGAA